CCCUCUGUUCCCCCUCAUGUCCUUGUUGGUGAUUGGUUAUUGUAUGUGUACGUCUGUACUGGUGUGCGGCAGGUUGUUACCCAUUGAUUUUUAUUCUGUUUUCCGGUGGGUUUUUGGUAAAUAAACUGCGCCGUUGGAAACACAGUUAUUUCUCUCCUGUGUCUGACUUCUCUGCCACCAGUUCACACCCUUACACAAGGUGUUCGCUGGACCGGGGAAGGCUCAAGGACUUAUGAAACGCUCGCCACAGGACAGCUAAAUGUGACAGACAACAAUGACCAUGUUGCUAUAGAAACAAAGUGACUUCAUCAGCCAGCAGCAACAGGUAAUUGAAAAGGUGUUGCUGUAGCUACAGAGUAGGAGAGUUCAGGCUAGUGUGAGAGGGGUGUUACUGUGCAGCAACAUGGAGAUGAGGUACCCAGGCUUCAAGCCUCGCCUGCAGCAUCGUCUGGUCCUGCAGGGCCCUCCGAGAGGUACCGCCCACAAAGCCCAGGUCACCAACUCAUUGGCCACUCCCAGGGAAUCAUUCUACUUGCCCCUCCCACCUACCCAACCUCGACUGGAGUUCUUGCACUGGGUGCAAGUGGAGAACAGCGAAGAGCAGGAGAAGAGGUGGAGGGAUAGGGCUGAGAGGGAGCAGCGUAAGCCCCAGAGGGAGGCCAGCCUGCCUCGCCUCUCUCUACCUCCUCCUUCCAGAAUGGGCCCCCAUACCUUGGCACGCUUCUUCUUCCAGUGGAGGGGGAGA